GAUCCUGGCUCAGAACGAACGCUGGCGGCAGGCUUAACACAUGCAAGUUGAACGGGAUUUGUGUGGUGCUUGCACCAUAUAAUGAGAGUAGCGCACUGGUGAGUAACACGUGGGAACGUGCCUUUUAGUGGGGGAUAACAUCUGGAAACGGAUGCUAAUACCGCAUACGCCCUGAGGGGGAAAGAUUUAUUGCUAAGAGGUCGGCCCGCGGUAGAUUAGGCAGUUGGUGGGGUAAAGGCCUACCAAACCUACG
rnacentral:rRNA from 1 species